GAUGAACGCUGGCUACAGGCUUAACACAUGCAAGUCGAGGGGAAACGGCAUUGAGUGCUUGCACUGAAUGGACGUCGACCGGCGCACGGGUGAGUAACGCGUAUCCAACCUUCCCGUUACUGCGGGAUAACCUGCCGAAAGGCAGACUAAUACCGCAUGUUCUUCGAUGACGGCAUCAGAUUCGAAGCAAAGAUCCGUCGGUAACGGAGGGGGAUGCGUCUGAUUAGCUAGUUGGCGGGGCGACGGCCCACCAAGGCGACGAUCAGUAGGGGUUCUGAGAGGAAGGUCCCCCACAUUGGAACUGAGACACGGCCCAAACACCUACGGGAGGCAGCAGUGAGGAAUAUUGGUCAAUGGGCGGAAGCCUGAACCAGCCAAGUAGCGUGCAGGAUGACGGCCCUACGGGUUGUAAACUGCUUUUAUGCGGGGAUAAAGUGAGGGACGCGUCCCUUUUUGCAGGUACCGCAUGAAUAAGGACCGGCUAAUUCCGUG
rnacentral:rRNA from 1 species